rnacentral:rRNA from 1 species
UACGGAGGGUGCAAGCGUUAAUCGGAAUUACUGGGCGUAAAGCGCUCGCAGGCGGCUUCGUAAGUCUGACGUGAAAGCCCCCGGCUUAACUGGGGGAGGUCGUUGGAUACUGCGGAGCUUGAGGACGGAAGAGGAGAGUGGAAUUCCCGGUGUAGCGGUGGAAUGCGUAGAUAUCGGGAGGAACUCCAGUGGCGAAGGCGACUCUCUGGUCCGUUCCUGACGCUCAGGAGCGAAAGCGUGGGGAGCGAACAGGAUUAGAAACCCCAGUAGUCC